AGAGAGAGACAUGCGCGCAUAUCAAUAAGCGGAGGAAAAGAAACUAACUAGGAUUCCCUUAGUAACGGCGAGUGAAGCGGGAAGAGCUCAAAUUUGAAAUCUUCAAGGUUCUACCUUGACGAAUUGUAGUCUAAAGAAGUGUUUUCUGUUGGAGUUUUGGUAAAAGUUCUUUGGAAUAGGACAUCAUAGAGGGUGAGAAUCCCGUAUUUGACCAUUAUUUCCAGCUUUGUGAUACACUUUCAAAGAGUCGGAUUGUUUGGGAAUGCAGUCCAAAAUGGGUGGUAAAUUUCAUCUAAAGCUAAAUAUUGGCGAGAGACCGAUAGCGAACAAGUACCGUGAGGGAAAGAUGAAAAGAACUUUGAAAAGAGAGUUAAACAGUACGUGAAAUUGUCAAAAGGGAAGCGUUUGACACCAGUGUUGUUUUCCUCGAAAAUCAAUUAAAAAAGGCAGGAUUUUGUGUUGUAUUGACUUUAUCAGCUUUCUGCACUCUUUUCUUGUCUUUUUUAAUGCACUUUUCGUUUAACAAGUCAACAUCAAUUUCUUUUGUUGUAAAAGGGUCAUUGGAAGGUGGCUUUCUUUUCGGAGAAAGUGUUUAUAGCCUUUGGCCUCUGCAAUCGGAGAGAUUGAGGUCUGCAGCGUAGAUCCUUCGGGGUUAGAUACAUUUGUGCUAAGUUAUAGCCUUUCAUAGACAACUUGUUGACUAUGAUCAGUCAUGUAGCUUACUCGCUUAUGCUAUUUUACCUACGCUUAGGAUGUUGAUGUGAUACUGCGAGCA
rnacentral:rRNA from 1 species